GCGGUAGGCCUAACACAUGCAAGUCGAACGGCAGCACAGGAGAGCCUGCUCUCUGGGUGGCGAGUGGCGGACGGGUGAGGAAUACAUCGGAAUCUACUUUUUCGUGGGGGAUAACGUAGGGAAACUUACGCUAAUACCGCAUACGACCUACGGGUGAAAGCAGGGGAUCUUCGGACCUUGCGCGAUUGAAUGAGCCGAUGUCGGAUUAGCUAGUUGGCGGGGUAAAGGCCCACCAAGGCGACGAUCCGUAGCUGGUCUGAGAGGAUGAUCAGCCACACUGGAACUGAGACACGGUCCAGACUCCUACGGGAGGCAGCAGUGGGGAAUAUUGGACAAUGGGCGCAAGCCUGAUCCAGCCAUACCGCGUGGGUGAAGAAGGCCUUCGGGUUGUAAAGCCCUUUUGUUGGGAAAGAAAUCCAGCUGGUUAAUACCCGGUUGGGAUGACGGUACCCAAAGAAUAAGCACCGGCUAACUUCGUGCCAGCAGCCGCGGUAAUACGAAGGGUGCAAGCGUUACUCGGAAUUACUGGGCGUAAAGCGUGCGUAGGUGGUCGUUUAAGUCCGUUGUGAAAGCCCUGGGCUCAACCCUGGGAACUGCAGUGGUACCUGGGCGACCUAGAGUCUGGUAGAGGU
rnacentral:rRNA from 1 species